ACUCCUACGGGAGGCAGCAGUGGGGAAUAUUGCGCAAUGGACGAAAGUCUGACGCAGCGACGCCGCGUGGAGGAUGUAAGGUUUUCGGAUCGUAAACUCCUGUCAAGAGGGAAGAAACCUAUUAUGAAUAAUACUCAUAGUAAUUGACGGUACCUCUAGAGGAAGCACCGGCUAAUUCAGUGCCAGCAGCCGCGGUAAUACUGAAGGUGCAAGCGUUAAUCGGAAUCACUGGGCGUAAAGCGCUCGUAGGUGGCUUUGUAAGUCAGGUGUGAAAGCCCACGGCUCAACCGUGGAAUUGCACUUUGAUACUGCAUCGCUAGAGUAUAGGAGAGGGAAGUGGAAUUUCUGGUGUAGGAGUGAAAUCCGUAGAGAUCAGAAGGAACACCCGUGGCGAAGGCGACUUCCUGGACUAUUACUGACACUGAGGAGCGAAAGCGU
rnacentral:rRNA from 1 species